rnacentral:rRNA from 1 species
AGUGCUUGCACUUGGAUGGACUGAGUGGCGGACGGGUGAGUAACGCGUGGGUAACCUGCCUUAUACAGGGGGAUAACAGUUGGAAACGACUGCUAAUACCGCAUAAGCGCACGGUAUCGCAUGAUACAGUGUGAAAAACUCCGGUGGUAUAAGAUGGGCCUGCGUCUGAUUAGCUAGUUGGUGAGGUAACGGCCCACCAAGGCGACGAUCAGUAGCCGGACUGAGAGGUUGACCGGCCACAUUGGGACUGAGAUACGGCCCAGACUCC